UGGCCUACGGGGCGCAGCAGUGGGGAAUAUUGCACAAUGGGGGAAACCCUGAUGCAGCAACGCCGCGUGAGUGAAGAAGUAUUUCGGUAUGUAAAGCUCUAUCAGCAGGGAAGAGAAUGACGGUACCUGACUAAGAAGCCCCGGCUAACUACGUGCCAGCAGCCGCGGCAAUACGUAGGGGGCGAGCGUUAUCCGGAUUUACUGGGUGUACAGGGAGCGUAGACGGUGCUG
rnacentral:rRNA from 1 species